AACGAACGCUGGCGGCAUGCCUAACACAUGCAAGUCGAACGAGACCUUCGGGUCUCCUGGCGCACGUGUGCGUAACGCGUGGGAACCUGCCCUUAGGUUCGGAAUAACUCCCCGAAAGGGGUGCUAACACCGGAUAAUGUCUUCGGACCAAAGAUCUAUCGCCUUUGGAUGGGCCCGCGCUGGAUUAGCUAGUUUGUAGGGUGACAGCCUACCAGGGCGCCGAUCCUGAGCUGGACAAAGAGGAUGAGCAGCCACGCUGGAACUGAGACAAGGCCCAGACUCAUGAGAGAGGCGGGUGUGGGGGACAAGGAAAUACGGGCGAUAGCCUGAUCGAGCAAAGGCGCGUAAGUGAGGAGGGCCUUAGGGUAGAGAAGCGCUUUUAUCCGCGAAGAUAAUGACAGUACAGGCAGAAUAAGCGCAGGCUAACUACGUG
rnacentral:rRNA from 1 species